CUUAUGCCAGGCACAUUUUGGUUAAAUGUGUAUUAUAGACAAAUACAUAUUGUAAAUAAUGUGCAAACCUUUUAGAAAUCGUUUAGAGUUUACUCCCUCACAACGUUGGACCUCCUUCUCCCAAACAUGAAAGUUCUUAACUGAUAAUUUCCAAAAAUGUUCCAGCAUGGUAGACCGUAGACUCAUAGUUAUUCUUCUGAUGAAAGAACUAGG